rnacentral:rRNA from 1 species
GAUGAACGCUGGCGGCGUGCCUAAUACAUGCAAGUCGAACGAGGUCUUCGGACCUAGUGGCGAACGGGUGAGUAACACGUUGGUACCUACCCCGAAGUGGGGAAUAACUGCCCGAAAGGGUGGCUAAUACCGCAUAAUACCGCAAGGUUAAAGCAGUAAUGCGCUUCGGGAGGGGCCUGCGUCCCAUUAGCUAGUUGGUAGGGUAAUGGCCUACCAAGGCGACGAUGGGUAGCUGGAUCGAGAGGUUGACCAGCCACACUGGGACUGAGAUACGGCCCAGACUCCUACGGGAGGCAGCAGUAAGGAAUCUUCCACAAUGGACGAAAGUCUGAUGGAGCAACGCCGCGUGCAGGAUGACGGCCUUCGGGUUGUAAACUGCUUUUAUACGGGAAGAUUAUGACGGUACCGUAUGAAUAAGGACCGGCUAACUACGUGCCAGCAGCCGCCGCCG